AUUAGAGUUUGAUCAUGGCUCAGGAUUAACGCUAGCGGCAGGCCUAAUACAUGCAAGUCGAGGGGUAAAUCGCGCAGCAAUGCGUGAUGAGACCGGCGCACGGGUGAGUAACGCGUAUGCAACUUACCUCUAACUGGGGAAUAGCUCCGAGAAAUCGGAAUUAAUACCGCUUAAAAUUAUCGGGUGGCAUCACUUGAUAAUUAAAACUCCGGUGGUUUGAGAUGGGCAUGCGUGACAUUAGAUAGUUGGUAAGGUAAUGGCUUACCAAGGCUACGAUGUCUAGGGGUUCUGAGAGGAUGAUCCCCCACACUGGUACUGAGACACGGACCAGACUCCUACGGGAGGCAGCAGUGAGGAAUAUUGGUCAAUGGGCGCAAGCCUGAACCAGCCAUCCCGCGUGUAGGAAGACUGCCCUAUGGGUUGUAAACUACUUUUAUAAAGGAAGAAACCCUUCUACGUGUAGAAGGCUGACUGUACUUUACGAAUAAGCAUCGGCUAACUCCGUGCCAGCAGCCGCGGUAAUACGGAGGAUCCAAGCGUUAUCCGGAUUUAUUGGGUUUAAAGGGUGCGUAGGCGGAUUAUUAAGUCAGUGGUGAAAUCCUGCAGCUUAACUGCAGAACUGCCAUUGAUACUGGUAAUCUUGAGUACAGUUGAGGUGGGCGGAAUGUGUCAUGUAGCGGUGAAAUGCUUAGAUAUGACACAGAACACCGAUUGCGAAGGCAGCUCGCUAAACUGUAACUGACGCUGAGGCACGAAAGCGUGGGGAGCAAACAGGAUUAGAUACCCUGGUAGUCCACGCCCUAAACGAUGAUCACUCGAUGUUAGCGAUAUACCGUUAGCGUCCAAGCGAAAGCAGUAAGUGAUCCACCUGGGGAGUACGGUCGCAAGAUUGAAACUCAAAGGAAUUGACGGGGGCCCGCACAAGCGGAGGAGCAUGUGGUUUAAUUCGAUGAUACGCGAGGAACCUUACCUGGGCUUGAAAGUUAGUGACGUUCCGAGAAACCGGAAUUCCCGCAAGGGCACGAAACUAGGUGCUGCAUGGCUGUCGUCAGCUCGUGCCGUGAGGUGUUGGGUUAAGUCCCGUAACGAGCGCAACCCCUAUCAUUAGUUGCCAACAGGUAAAGCUGGGGACUCUAAUGAGACUGCCCGCGCAAGCGGUGAGGAAGGUGGGGAUGACGUCAAGUCAGCACGGCCCUUACGUCCAGGGCUACACACGUGCUACAAUGGGCGGUACAGAAGGAUGCUACCUGGUGACAGGAUGCAAAUCUCAAAAACCGUCCUCAGUUCGGAUCGAAGUCUGCAACUCGACUUCGUGAAGCUGGAUUCGCUAGUAAUCGCAUAUCAGCAAUGAUGCGGUGAAUACGUUCCCGGGCCUUGUACACACCGCCCGUCAAGCCAUGGAAGUUGGGGGUACCUAAAGUCGAUCACCGCAAGGAGUCGCCUAGGGUAAAACCAAUGACUGGGGCUAAGUCGUAACAAGGUAACCGUAAAUC
rnacentral:rRNA from 1 species